rnacentral:rRNA from 1 species
AUUGAACGCUGGCGGCAGGCCUAACACAUGCAGGUCGAACGAGUGGCGGACGGGUGAGUAAUGUCUGGGAAACUGCCUGAUUGAUGGGGAUAACUACUGGAAACGGUCGCUAAUACCGCAUACCAUCCGAUGUCCCCAGAUGGGAUUGGCUUUUUGGUGGGGUAACGGCUCCCCAAGGCGACGAUCCCUAGCUGGUCUGAGAGGAUGACGAGCCACACGUGAACUGAGACAAGGUCCAGACUCCUACGGGAGGCAGCAGUGGGGAAGAUGGCACAAUGGGCGCAAGCCUGAUGCAGCCAUGCCGCGUGUAUGAAGAAGGCCUUCGGGUUGUAAAGUACUUUCAGCGGGGAGGCGUUACCCGCAGAAGAAGCACCUGCUAACUCCGUGCCAGCAGCCGCGGUAAUUC